rnacentral:rRNA from 1 species
AGCAGCCGCGGUAAUUCCAGCUCCAAUAGCGUAUAUUAAAGUUGUUGCAGUUAAAAAGCUCGUAGUUGAAUUUCGGGGUUAGUAGGUUGGUCAUGCCUCUGGUAUGUACUGGUCUCACUGAUUCCUCCUUCCUGAUGAGCCGUAAUGCCAUUAAUUUGGUGUUGCGGGGAAUUUGGACUGUUACUUUGAAAAAAUUAGAGUGUUUAAAGCAGGCUCACGCUUGAAUACAUUAGCAUGGAAUAAUGAAAUAGGACGUUUGAUUCUAUUUUGUUGGUUUCUAGGAUCGACGUAAUGAUUAAUAGGGAUAGUUGGGGGCAUUAGUAUUCAAUUGUCAGAGGUGAAAUUCUUGGAUUUAUUGAAGACUAACUACUGCGAAAGCAUUUGCCAAGGAUGUUUUCAUUAAUCAAGAACGAAAGUUAGGGGAUCGAAGACGAUCAGAUACCGUCGUAGUCUUAACCAUAAACUAUGCCGACUAGGGAUCGGAUGAUGUUAAUUUUUUAAUGACUCAUUCGGCGCCUUA